rnacentral:rRNA from 1 species
UGGGGAAUAUUGCACAAUGGGCGCAAGCCUGAUGCAGCCAUGCCGCGUGUGUGAAGAAGGCCUUCGGGUUGUAAAGCACUUUCAGCGAGGAGGAAGGUGGUGAGCUUAAUACGCUCAUCAAUUGACGUUACUCGCAGAAGAAGCACCGGCUAACUCCGUGCCAGCAGCCGCGGUAAUACGGAGGGUGCAAGCGUUAAUCGGAAUUACUGGGCGUAAAGCGCACGCAGGCGGUUUGUUAAGUCAGAUGUGAAAUCCCCGGGCUCAACCUGGGAACUGCAUUUGAAACUGGCAAGCUAGAGUCUCGUAGAGGGGGGUAGAAUUCCAGGUGUAGCGGUGAAAUGCGUAGAGAUCUGGAGGAAUACCGGUGGCGAAGGCGGCCCCCUGGACGAAGACUGACGCUCAGGUGCGAAAGCGUGGGGCAGCAAACAGGAUUAGAUACCCUGGUAGUCCACGCUGUAAACGAUGUCGAUUUGGAGGUUGUGCCCUUGAGGCGUGGCUUCCGGAGCUAACGCGUUAAAUCGACCGCCUGGGGAGUACGGCCGCAAGGUUAAAACUCAAAUGAAUUGACGGGUC